rnacentral:rRNA from 1 species
AACGAACGCUGGCGGCAUGCCUAACACAUGCAAGUCGAACGAGACCUUCGGGUCUAGUGGCGCACGGGUGCGUAACGCGUGGGAACCUGCCCUUAGGUUCGGAAUAACUCCCCGAAAGGGGUGCUAAUACCGGAUAAUGUCUUCGGACCAAAGAUUUAUCGCCUUUGGAUGGGCCCGCGUUGGAUUAGCUAGUUGGUAGGGUAAAAGCCUACCAAGGCGACGAUCCAUAGCUGGUCUGAGAGGAUGAUCAGCCACACUGGGACUGAGACACGGCCCAGAACGCUAGGGGGGGGAGCGGUGGGGAAUAUUAGGGAAGGGGCCAAAACCCGGUCCAGCAAUGCCGGGUAAGAGGGGAAGGGGGUUGGGUUGUGAAGCUCUUUUACCCGGGAUGAUAAUGACAGUACCGGGAGAAUAAGCUCCGGCUAACUACGUG